rnacentral:misc_RNA from 1 species
GUAGGUGAACCUGCGGAAGGAUCAUUACUGAGACUGGGUGCUUCGGCGCCCGACCUCCAACCCUUUGUCUACCUUACCACUGUUGCCUCGGUGGGCCGCGGCUCACGCCGCUCCUGCCGACGGCCUAAAACCAAAACUCUUGUUUAAACACCGUUCAUCUGAGAAUAAAAACAAUAACUUCAAAACUAUUAACAACGGAUCUCUUGGUUCUG